rnacentral:misc_RNA from 1 species
UAACCGUAAGUGAACCUGCGGAAGGAUCAUUAACAUAUUCCAUUCCACGCGUCUUGAGGAGACGUUAACCGACCCUUCACUGGGUUGGGACACGGCUUCUCGUUAAGGACAAAACUUUUUACCUUUGACAAACAACCAUCAGUUCUCUUAUUGAGAGUUCUGUUUUCAUAAUAACAUAUGAAAAACAACUUUUAACAAUGGAUCUCUUGGCUCUU